CCCUUAGAUGUCCGGGGCCGCACGCGCGCUACACUGAAGGAAUCAGCGUGGCUUUCUCCCUGACCCGAAAGGGUUGGGAAACCCGUUGAAUCUCCUUCGUGAUAGGGAUUGGGGCUUGAAAUUGUUCCCCAUGAACGAGGAAUUCCCAGUAAGCGCGAGUCAUAAGCUCGCGUUGAUUACGUCCCUGCCCUUUGUACCCACCGCCCGUCGCUACUACCGAUUGAACGGUUUAGUGAGGGCCUCGGAUUGGUCUCGGCCCGCUCUUUACCGGGCGGCGCCGUUGGUCGAGAAGACGCUCGAACUUGAUCGUUUAGAGGAAGUAAAAGUCGUAACA
rnacentral:rRNA from 1 species